rnacentral:rRNA from 1 species
CAGCCGCCACGGUAAUACAGAGGAUGCAAGCGUUAUCCGGAAUGAUUGGGCGUAAAGCGUGCGUAGGCGGUUUCUUAAGUCUGCUGUGAAAUCCCCGGGCUCAACCUGGGAAUGGCAGUGGAUACUGGGAAGCUAGAGUGUGUCAGAGGAUGGUGGAAUUCCCGGUGUAGCGGUGAAAUGCGUAGAGAUCGGGAGGAACAUCAGUGGCGAAGGCGGCCAUCUGGGACAACACUGACGCUGAGGCACGAAAGCGUGGGGAGCAAACAGGAUUAGAUACCCCCGUAGUCCCUGUCUCUUAUAC